AUACUCACCUGGCAGGGGAAAUAACAUGAUUACGAAGGUGGCUUUCCCAGAGCGAGGCUAAUCCAUUGCACUCCAGGUGUGCUGAUCCUUGCGAUUUCACCAAAUUCGGGAAACUGGACUGCAUAAUUUGUGGUAGUGGGGGAUUGUAUGUUCAUCACAUUCAUGCCUA